rnacentral:tRNA from 1 species
GGGAGUUUGGUCUAGUGGUAUAUAUUUCUCGCUUAGGGUGCGAGAGGUCGUGGGUUCAAUUCCCGCAACUCCCC